UUUGAGUCAUCCUCAUAAAUUGCUAAUGAAAUAUUCUCACCCUUAAUUAUCUCUCUCUCAAUUCCUCUCUCUCCCUCUCCACACUCUAAUUUCUCCAUUAUUCACUAAUCUUGUGGUUCCAAGUUCUAACAAUUAUACUUCUCAAUAAAGGUAUCAAUCAAUUCAGUAUUAGAAAUAUAAAAAAAACAAUUAGGAAAAUGAAAAAUGAAACUAAAACUAUACAUUCUCUCAUAUAAAAAGAUAAAUUAUAAUAAUAAUAAAAAAUAUUCAUGGUGUAUUAAA
rnacentral:lncRNA from 1 species